rnacentral:lncRNA from 1 species
CUAACUGAACACUUACUCUGUACCAAGUACAGUUCUAAGUACUAGAGAAAUCAGACCAAGAAUGGUGCAAAAACCUCAAAAUACCAAAAUCCACAGAUGGUCAAGCCCAUGUAUAAAAUAACAUAGUAUUUGCAUAUAAUCUAUGCACACACCUUCUUGUGCACUUUAAAUCAGCUCUAGAUUUUUUAUAAUACCUAAUACAAUAUAAAUUAUGUAUAUAAUUAUUAUACUGUAUUGUUUAGGAAAUAAUGACAAGAAGAAAGUCUUUACAUGUUCAGUACUUUUUUUUUUCCUGCCUGCAGCUCCCAUCCUAAACUGGAGGCUAAUGCUGAGCCUGGUCGAAUUAUGUACUUGUCCAUCUGUCCCUAUCAGCUUGUCUGACUGUAUUUGAGACUGUAAUAAUUUUAAAAGAUUCAGCAUAUCGGCCAUUUGCCACCCCUGCACUGGAUAAUUUUAUUCAUUCUCUUUCUCUUCCCCAAUUUCUGUCUCUUUUCCUUUUUCCUUCUCUCCCUCCUUUCUUUUCUUGAGUAAGAUUUAUUGUAUCAUAUUUUACACACAAUAAAAUCCACUCCCUUUCUUGUAUGUUUCUGAGUUUGACAAACGCAUACACUCAUAUGGCUACCACAGUCAAGACACAGAACAUUUCUAUCACUCCAAAGAAUCCCCACCGCACUUUCCUUUUGUAGUCUUGCCCUCCCUGCACCAGGC